rnacentral:rRNA from 1 species
GUGGGGAAUCUUGCGCAAUGGGCGAAAGCCUGACGCAGCCAUGCCGCGUGAAUGAUGAAGGUCUUAGGAUUGUAAAAUUCUUUCACCGGGGACGAUAAUGACGGUACCCGGAGAAGAAGCUCCGGCUAACUUCGUGCCAGCAGCCGCGGUAAUACGAAGGGGGCUAGCGUUGCUCGGAAUUACUGGGCGUAAAGGGCGCGUAGGCGGACAGCUUAGUCAGAGGUGAAAGCCCAGGGCUCAACCUUGGAAUUGCCUUUGAUACUGGCUGUCUUGAGUUUGGGAGAGUUGAGUGGAACUCCGAGUGUAGAGGUGAAAUUCGUAGAUAUUCGGAAGAACACCAGUGGCGAAGGCGACUCACUGGCCCAAUACUGACGCUGAGGCGCGAAAGCGUGGGGAGCAAACAGGAUUAGAAACCCUUGUAGUCC